AGAGCAUGAUUUUCAAAGCACCAGCAUCCUAUUCCAUAAGCUUCCGACUGUCUUUUUAAUGCAGACCGGGGAAAAGAGCGGCAGACGGCAUGGAAACUUCAUGUCAGCCCAGUCCACCAACAGCGCAACAUAAUCGGCCAGAACCCACCUGGGAUAUCAACGUAUCGCAGGCUGAAGACAACCCAAACCCAACAGAGAUGCCCGUCACGUUGAUAACCUGGGAAGCAUCCGAAAGCGAGAACAGUUUGACGAGCUCGUUCUUUUAGCAGUACUAUCUCACGGCAUUCUGUGGCACUUUUAUGUUAUGCUGCGUUAUGACCUAUGGCCACAGCCAUCGUCUGGUCUGAGUUGGUCGUCCCCUCUUGGAAUUCCUCGGGGAGGCUUCUCGGAGAGCGGGAGCCGCUCCGGACCUGCCCCGCCGACACCGCACUUACCGCGAUGGCGAGGGUGACGGAAGCCAGCUCAACCCUGCCGAGGUGGCCGCAGAAGAUGGUGCUGACGACGUGGAUCAUGAACACCAACAGCUGGAUGAGCGUCUGAGAGAGAGAGAGCGAGAGAGAAGCGCCGGCCGUGAGAUUUACGGGGGGGAAGGUGACGCCGGGUGGCCUUCGAGCCUGCCACCCCAAGCGCCAGAUCCCGAAACGCUGGCGUUCAGGCAGCUGGGGUCUUGGAGCACGUCAGCUCCCAUCAGCCCCAGCCACAGAGCCAGUGGGCAGCGGUGCCGAGGGCUGUCACCCCGAACGACUGGAGAGGGGCCCGACCCUGUACCUCUCGCGCCCUUUGGUGGCACAACGAACGUACGUUUGGAUGGAGGAAGCUUUGCUAAACCUGAGCGGCUAAAUGGCUCCUCACCUGAGGUCUGGCGAGCAUCUCUUAGCUUCGUGCUCUCUUACUGCUUUCUAACUCUUGGGAGCAACGUUUUAGUGAGAAGACCAGCCGUGGUGUCAGCGGGAGCCAGAGCAAAGAGGGAAAGGAAUGAAUUGCAGGCCGCCCAGGCUGGAAAGGGGCAGUUGGCUGCAGGGUCUCGCCUCACCCGUUGGCAUAUGGAAGGAGCCAGUGUUGCCUAGUGGUUAGCGCAGCAGAGUGGCGCUUGGAGGACCCAGGUGUGGGCCCCUCCUUGGCCAGGAAGGCCCCCCGGAGCCAGUUGCAGGGUCUCAGCUCAGCCGACCUCGCAGGGGCGUGCUGAGGGUGAAACGGAAAGGAAGGGGCUUCCGUGCCAGUAGCUCCGGGGAGGGUUAAAAGCGGCAUAUAAAUACGAGGCCAGGAAAGAAAUGACUUCAAGACUUACCAGUGGCCCUGCCAACAGCAAAAUCUUCUUUGCCUCUGCCCAGAAGUAGGAAGGAAAGAAUCGGCAUAAUUUCCGGCAGCCACGGGCCGCCGGCACCUGCGGAUCCGCAGCCAGAGCCCCCGGCGGGGGCUUCUCCUGAUUGGGGGUCCCGAGCUCCAUCGAUGGGAGAGCACCCUCUUCUUUUCCCAGCUGCUCUUCCUGGAGGGGUGUAUGGAGCAACCCGGAUGGGCUCGUCCGGCCCGAGAACACCUCUGCUCAGCUGCCGCGGGACGGAUUUCAGCCGGCUCUGGGUAACCUCCUCUCACUCUCGCAAUUUUGGGCAAUGGGCGAGGACUAAAGUCUCUCCUGGGCCAAUAGGGAGGAGGGCCAGCUGCUUGGGACGUCCAUCUGAAGUUGCAGAGGCCAGAGGGAAGUUGGCUCGGAGGCCUGGGCUGCGUCCAAGACAAGCACCCGUGAAGUCAGGCAGCUGUGCCAGUCCCACCCACAAGAGCUACAGCUGAAUGUGAGGGAAGAGGGACAGAAGACCAAGCACGGGCCAUCCGGAAGGCGGAUCCAGGUGCUCUACGCAGAAUUUGGGGCAAGUUGCUAGCCCUCAUGACAGCGGGUAUCCGAGUGUCAGAAACUGCUUGUUCGGUUUCUGGGUUGCCUUCGACGUUAUUUUGAUAAUCUUGUUGCUGGACUAGCGAAUCAUUACAUAUUCUUUCCCUCUCCCCUGUGCUGAAUGGUAUAUUGUUAACUCCUUGAGGCAGGGACCUGUGUCGUCUAUAUCAUACACAGUGAGGGGAUGACCUAAAUAACAAAGACCAGGUGCUCCGAUAUGUAACUUCAUGGUUAUCUGUGUCCAAGAGAGCUGUUGGGCGUGAAAAAUAAUCAGGAAUCAUCCAAAAGAACCAUCUGCUAAAAAAUUAUUGUAACUACCACAAGACAUGUUUUCCAUGAGAAUGGUAACCCUGACCCCCCCCCACACACACACACACUGCAUGCUGUAAAUUCAUAACUAGAGCUGAUUUAUCUAUACAGAAGGCGAUGAGAGGAAGAAGCAGGGCUAGUUCACGAGCCCCAACCAUAAACAAAUAGGUUAUGUUUUCCUCUACCCUCCUCAUCCCAUUUUCCUUGCAUGUCACUCCUUUUCAAAUUUCAGGGUUCUCCCAGUGGCAUGUAUGCCUUCUUGGCUGAGGAGCAGGAUAAAAAUGCUUCAAGUAAAUAAUAAAUCCUCAAGCAUGUACGUAAAUCCAACUAUCACUGCAUAUGAAUGUACUUUUUGGCCUAAUCUGUUAAUCAGUGACCACAUUCAAGGAAUCAAAAAAGGCCAAAGGUAGUUCUUGACACCUAUUCCUCAUGGAGGCAUAAGAAAGCCAGAUUCCAAGACCUGUUUGGACCCACAUACCUUUCCACCCAAUGCAUUUGUGUCCCUGGCAUCCAGCCAUAAACUCUGAAACUCAGAGUUCUGAUCUGUUAAUUAUUUUUAAUCAGGUCCUGAGUACCAUCUGAUCAUCUUCCUAGAGGAGCCAAGGCUACCUGGGGCUACCUGGACUUUGACACACAGCAUCUGCAUGGAUUUCAC